rnacentral:rRNA from 1 species
GAUGAACGCUGGCGGCGUGCCUAAUACAUGCAGGUCGAGCGAACGGACGAGAAGCUUGCUUCUCUGAUGUUAGCGGCGGACGGGUGAGUAACACGUGGAUAACCUACCUAUAAGACUGGGAUAACUUCGGGAAACCGGAGCUAAUACCGGAUAAUAUUUUGAACCGCAUGGUUCAAAAGUGAAAGACGGUCUUGCUGUCACUUAUAGAUGGAUCCGCGCUGCAUUAGCUAGUUGGUAAGGUAACGGCUUACCAAGGCAACGAUGCAUAGCCGACCUGAGAGGGUGAUCGGCCACACUGGAACUGAGACACGGUCCAGACUCCUACGGGAGGCAGCAGUAGGGAAUCCUCCGCAAUGGGCGAAAGCCUGACGGAGCAACGCCGCGUGAGUGAUGAAGGUCUUCGGAUCGUAAAACUCUGUUAUUAGGGAAGAACAUAUGUGUAAGUAACUGUGCACAUCUUGACGGUACCUAAUCAGAAAGCCACGGCUAACUACGUG